rnacentral:rRNA from 1 species
UACGUAGGGUGCGAGCGUUGUCCGGAAUUAUUGGGCGUAAAGAGCUCGUAGGCGGCUUGUCGCGUCGGUUGUGAAAGCCCGGGGCUUAACUCCGGGUCUGCAGUCGAUACGGGCAGGCUAGAGUGUGGUAGGGGAGAUCGGAAUUCCUGGUGUAGCGGUGAAAUGCGCAGAUAUCGGGAGGAACACCAAUGGCGAAGGCAACCACCUGGGCCUGUACUGACGCUGAGGUACGAAAGCGUGGGGAGCAAACAGGG